UACGUAGGGGGCUAGCGUUGUCCGGAAUCAUUGGGCGUAAAGCGCGUGUAGGCGGUUCGGUAAGUCCGCUGUGGAAGUCGGGGGCUCAACCCUCGAAUGCCGGUGGAUACUGUCGGACUAGAGUACGGAAGGGGCGAGUGGAAUUCCUGGUGUAGCGGUGAAAUGCGCAGAUAUCAGGAGGAACACCAAUUGCGAAGGCAGCUCGCUGGGACGUUACUGACGCUGAGAAGCGAAAGCAUGGGGAGCGAACAGG
rnacentral:rRNA from 1 species